rnacentral:rRNA from 1 species
CAGUCGCCGCGGGAAUACGGAGGGUGCAAGCGUUAAUCGGAAUUACUGGGCGUAAAGCGCACGCAGGCGGUCUGACAAGUCAGAUGUGAAAUCCCCGGGCUUAACCUGGGAACUGCAUUUGAAACUGGCAGGCUAGAGUCUUGUAGAGGGGGGUAGAAUUCCAGGUGUAGCGGUGAAAUGCGUAGAGAUCUGGAGGAAUACCGGUGGCGAAGGCGGCCCCCUGGACAAAGACUGACGCUCAGGUGCGAAAGCGUGGGGAGCAAACAGGAUUAGAUACCCCGGUAGUCCCUGUCUCUUAUAU